rnacentral:rRNA from 1 species
GACGAACGCUGGCGGCGUGCUUAACACAUGCAAGUCGAACGGAAAGGCCCUGCUUUUGUGGGGUGCUCGAGUGGCGAACGGGUGAGUAACACGUGAGUAACCUGCCCUUGACUUUGGGAUAACUUCAGGAAACUGGGGCUAAUACCGGAUAGGGGCUCCUGCUGCAUGGUGGGGGUUGGAAAGUUUCGGCGGUUGGGGAUGGACUCGCGGCUUAUCAGCUUGUUGGUGGGGUAGUGGCUUACCAAGGCUUUGACGGGUAGCCGGCCUGAGAGGGUUACCGGCCACAUUGGGACUGAGAUACGGCCCAGACUCCUACGGGAGGCAGCAGUGGGGAAUAUUGCACAAUGGGCGGAAGCCUGAUGCAGCAACGCCGCGUGCGGGAUGACGGCCUUCGGGUUGUAAACCGCUUUCGCCUGUGACGAAGCGUGAGUGACGGUAAUGGGUAAAGAAGCACCGGCUAACUACGUG